GGUGCAUGCACUCUGAGACAGAUAAAUCCUCCAACAACUACCCUAAGAGAAGCUUUUGAUUGGACCUCUGUGUCUCUCCUAUAAUGGCAGUGAGCUGAGCACUUUGCCCAGCGCUGGGGAAUAAUGCAAAUAGGGCAUUCUAUUCAAUGACAAAAGUGAAAAACCAAAGAAAAAAGUUUAGUAAAGUGAUUUUCUCAAAGAAUAAUUAACCCUUAAUAGGGAACACAUG